rnacentral:rRNA from 1 species
CCUACGGGUGGCAGCAGUCGAGAAUCAUUCACAAUGGGGGAAACCCUGAUGGUGCGACGCCGCGUGGGGGAAUGAAGGUCUUCGGAUUGUAAACCCCUGUCAUGUGGGAGCAAAUUAAAAAGAUAGUACCACAAGAGGAAGAGACGGCUAACUCUGUGCCAGUAGCCGCGGUAAUACAGAGGUCUCAAGCGUUGUUCGGAAUCACUGGGCGUAAAGCGUGCGUAGGCUGUUUCGUAAGUCGUGUGUGAAAGGCGCGGGCUCAACCCGCGGACGGCACAUGAUACUGCGAGACUAGAGUAAGGGAGGGGGAAGCGGAAUGCUCGGUGUAGCAGUGAAAUGCGUAGAUAUCGAGAGGAACACUCGUGGCGAAGGCGGGUUCCUGGACAUUAACUGACGCUGAGGCACGAAGGCCAGGGGAGCGAAAGGGAUUAGAUACCCGGGUAGUC